rnacentral:ncRNA from 2 species
AGAGUUAAAUAGUACGUGAAAUUGUUGAAAGGGAAACGCUUGACACCAGUCAUGCGAGCGGAAAAUCAGUCUUUUGCAGUGGGGAGUUGUGUGGGUUCGGACCGCAAGGCCGGCCUGCGCUGCAUCUCUGCUGUAAGUGAUGCACUUUUUCGUUUGCAGGCCAACAUCAGUUUCUUCUGCUGGACAAAACUCUUGAGAAGGUAGCAGCUUUGGCUGUGUUAUAGCUCUUGAGCGAUACAGUGGAGGGGACUGAGGUUUUCGCAGCGCGUGCUCUCGGGCAAGGCUGAUUGGGUGCUAUGGGAUCGUUCGGUGUACAAUGCUUGCAUUUUGCGCCGUGUCUUUUCUGUACUCGCUCAACUCGGCUCUUCCGCGCUUAGGAUGUUGGCUUAAUGGUUUUAAUCGACC